rnacentral:rRNA from 1 species
UACAGAGGUCCCGAGCGUUGUUCGGAUUCAUUGGGCGUAAAGGGUGCGUAGGCGGUUUCCUAAGUUUGAUGUGAAAUCCCGGGGCUUAACCCUGGAAUUGCAUUGAAUACUGGGAGACUAGAGUACUGGAGAGGAAACUGGAAUUUACGGUGUAGCAGUGAAAUGCGUAGAUAUGCGGAGGAACACCGAUGGCGAAGGCAAUCCCCUGGGCCUGCACUGACGCUCAUGCACGAAAGCGUGGGGAGCAAACAGG